rnacentral:ncRNA from 1 species
UCUUAUCCAGAGUGGUCGAGGGACUGGCCCGAUGACACCCGGCAACCGGCAGUAAUGCAGUGGUGCUAAUUCCAGCAGAACAUUGUUCUGGGAGAUGAGA